ensembl:snoRNA
AAGACUGUUUAGCCCAGGCUGGCAGUUUUCUGAAGCUGUUGGUUUCAAGCAGGCGCCUAAAGUGAUGUCUUUCUAAGGUCUGGUGGCCAUUUUAGAGCUUCAGAAAUGUAAUGGCCAAUUUGUGAAAAAGAAACAACU